AAUAAAUUUUUAAUAAUUUUAAAUAUUGAGAUCUUCAGAAAAGCAUAGCUUGUAACUAUGUAACAGUAACCACCGUUACUAAGAUUUUGGACUAAAUAAAAUAAAAUUUAAUAAAAAGCCAAAUUAAAUUUCACUACAAUACAGAGUUAAUAUGGGUAAUGUCAAUUAUUGCUGCCACUACCCGGGUAAUGUCGAUAUUACCCGGUUUGACUAGAUUACCCGUAACAUAUACAUCUCCAUUACAGUGUUUCAACAUUUCCACACCUCUUUUGCUUAUUCAAAGAGAAGUAAGCCAGCUUAGGCUUGAAAAGAUACUUAGACAGGUACAGAAUAUUCCGCUAACAGAGAAGAAAAAUCAAGGAAAUUUUUAAGUAAUUAUGCUGACUAGUUUUCCAAAGAAAUGUUAAAUACGACAGAGAGUCGUGAAUGGAGAUACGUUUUUUCUUGCUUUGGCUAUCCAUAUCUUGGUCAUAUUUGCGCGGGCCUUUCUAGCUAUAACUUAGAGGGAAGGAGCAAUCUUUCCUUUGGGAGCAACUUAUUACUAAGUGCAGCACAAACUUUCAGAAAUCCUAAAUAAUAUCUUUAAAUGACCAACCCUUUUCCUUCUAAUUAGUUAUAAACCAAGCUUCUAAUGCAGGGAAGAGGGAGCGUUCCCUCCCCGAUAAGCGGCCCUGAUCAGUGAUAACACCAAGAAAGUAGAUAGCUCUAUGAGUAGAUAGAUUACAGAUUUAUGAAGCUACAUAUUUAUUCAACUCAAGAUAAGUGUUCCAGAUUCUGCAUAAUUAAGUAAUCCAUUGCAUAUUGUUACUUUAAACCACUCCCGCGCUCUUGUGGCGGUUUUACUAAGUUUGUUUGAAUCCCCCUCCACCUAUUGGCUGGCUGUUCGUUCAUCGUGUACAUUCAUGCAACAGAUUCAACGAUUCAGCAGUCGCGAGCAAAACACGCGCGGAGUUGCGGAGAUAACCGAGGAUCACUGUUGGUCGUUAGUCUGUAGCAACGAUCCUCCUGCAACAAAGGAAUAUUUCAGUUGUUUCUGUCGUUGCCCUCUUGCUUUUAGUAGAAGGGACACUACAUACUCGAUAGUUUCUCUCGUUAUCUUCAAGUGUUCUGCCUCACUCUUUGCAAUCCCUGGUAAGUGCACCCACUUUCUUAUCUCUUAUCACUAUGGCAUGUGCUAAGUAAACAAAGGUACGGGCCAGAUAAGUACUUACCUCUUUUUCAGCCAUAGCUUCGCAUUCUAGCCCGAAGUAUUUAUCAUUUAGACAGAGCAUGCAAUUUAAUUUUUCUUGUAUCUUGUUGAAGCCAGGAUUCAGCAGAUUUGGAUGUGCAUAGUUUUGAAAUCUGUGAUAAGGAUCCAUUGAAUUCACAUCUGUCAGCUAUGACAGCCUUUUUUACUUCUAAACAGCUUAUUAACCAACCUUUUACUUACUUAAUUUACCAGAAACGCAUUUUGUUUCAAAGACAUUAUUGACAGACACUUUCCUUAAUAUCAACUUCAACCAAAUGAACAACUUAGGUACUUAUCCUUCAUCAAAGAUCUACAUCUUUCUUGCCAACCAACAUGUAAUUAAUGCAACAUGAAGGAACUUCCAUUAAACUGGGAGGCUCUUAAUGCCUUCACACCAUCUGAAUGUAGAUUACCCUUUAGAGAGGACACUUGAGAUUUUUUUUUGUAAAUCGCCGGUGAAACUGCAAGAAUGUGCAACUCGG
rnacentral:lncRNA from 1 species